rnacentral:rRNA from 1 species
UAGUCCACGCUGUAAACGAUGUCUACUAGCUGUUGGGUUCCUUGAGGACUUAGUGGCGCAGCUAACGCGAUAAGUAGACCGCCUGGGGAGUACGGCCGCAAGGUUAAAACUCAAAUGAAUUGACGGGGGCCCGCACAAGCGGUGGAGCAUGUGGUUUAAUUCGAGGCAACGCGAAGAACCUUACCAGACCUUGACAUGCCUCUCGCGGAUUUCAGAGAUGAUCUCCUUCAGUUCGGCUGGAGAGUGCACAGGUGCUGCAUGGCUGUCGUCAGCUCGUGUCGUGAGAUGUUGGGUUAAGUCCCGCAACGAGCGCAACCCUCAUUUUUAGUUACCAUCAUUUAGUUGGGUACUCUAGAGAAACUGCCGGGGUCAACCCGGAGGAAGGUGGGGAUGACGUCAAGUCUUCAUGGCCCUUAUGGUCUGGGCUACACACGUGCUACAAUGGCAAAUACAAUGAGCAGCGAUCCCGCGAGGGUCAGCUAAUCUCCAAAAUUUGUCU